GCUAGGAGGAGCGUUGAAAAUAUCGUGACAAGUAGUUUCCGUGCGCCCGAGAGCGUGUGAAUUGCGCCUAAUUACCGUGUCCGGUGCGCCUCUACGUAGCCGUGUGUAACCCCUCGGCUUCUAGGACGCGGGCUCCGCUGCGCGGCUCUCAGAGGCCCCGGGCGCUUGGCAAGGCCGAGUUUCCCAAGUGGCCCUGGUGGCCGGGGGCGGGAUAGGGGCAGAUCCUCUUGAACGCAGGACGCGCAUCGGUCAGUCCGUCCUUCCCGGCCUGAGACAAGGUCGCCACGGACCCCCAGGAGUAGUUUUAACUUUCACCUUCCACUUCCGUACUGACGUCACGGCCCUGAGGAACAGCUCGAUCUGCAGAGGAGACGCACGAACACGCGUGUGGAUACACUCACAUCUGUACACACACAGACCACGACAACAUUUUCCUCCGGAUCAACUCUCGCCAUGUUAAUUAAGAGUCUCAGCCGCGUGCACCCCUGCGUGGACAGAGAAGCGCAGCCUGGUUUGCUGUCCCCGCCCCCGAGCCCGCUACAAUGGCCCUUUUACGGGGUCAAAGCCACGGAUCCGGCCUAAACCGGGGCCAGGGACCCAGGCACAGUUCUGCAACCAGAAAGAACCUCUUUCAUCGUGGCCCUUGACUUCUCGGACGCUCUU